rnacentral:rRNA from 1 species
AGGACAAACGCCGGCGGCGUACCUAAGACAUGCAAGUCGAACGGAUCAGGAGACUUCGGUCUGUUGGUGAGUGGCGAACGGGUGAGUAACACGUAGGAACCUGUCGCUCAGUGGGGGAUAACGUUGGGAAACCGGCGCUAAUACCGCAUGUGGUUCCGGCAACGGAAAGAAAGCAAUCAUGCGCUGAGUGAGGGGCCUGCGGCCGAUUAGCUGGUUGGUGGGGUAAAGGCCUACCAAGGCGACGAUCGGUAGC